rnacentral:rRNA from 1 species
ACGCUGCGGGUGCUUACACUGCAAAGUCGAACGAGGGUCAUCCGAUCUCGAUUGGUGAAGACUAUGCAACGUCUAGAAACUGCCCCGCUCUGAUCAGUUGGAAACGACUGCUAAUACCGGAUGCCGCGACCGUCGCAUGGCCCGGGGGGGAAACCCCUGGAACCGGAAAAGGGUUACCGGAUCGGAGGGUCUCGCGGCUUAUCAGCUUUGUUGGGUGAGGUAACGGCUCAACCAAGGCAUCGACGGCUACUGGUCUGACAGGAUGAAUCAGCACCUGGACCUGAACCGGCCAACUCCUACGGGAGCAGCAGUGGGGAAUAUUGCACAAUUUGAGGCCCGAAAGCCUGAUGCAGCAACGCCGCGUGCGGGAUGAAGGCCCUAGGGUUGUAAACCGCUUUCAGCAGGGAAGAAAAUGACGGUACCUGUAGAAGAAGGUGCGGCCAACUACGUGCCAGCAGCCGCGGUGACACGUAGGCACCAGCGUGUCGAUUUUGGCGUAAAG